GUCACUACUGCAGUUUAAUCUUUUUUAUUACAGUUAAUCAAUAGGUUAUUAAUUCUCUCAGUGUGUAAAAUUUAAUUAGUGCCUAUCGAUAUUAUAUAAGUAAAAAGAAAAAAAAAUGUGUAAAAGCUGAAUUCAACGUAGUAUUUAGCGUUAAUACAGGGAGUACGAAUAUUGGCUCGUAGUAUUCCAGUUCGUGUGGUGGAAUAUUAUAAAGCUAGCAAACAUUUUAAUAACAUGUGUAACGUUAAACGAUGACAUGGAUUUAAAAAGAUUAACAAAAACGUUAAAACCACAAGAUAAGAGUUUAAAAGGUUUUGGUGUAAUGAAUUGAUAUAGAGAAAGAUAUUGCACAAGGAGAAAAUACUUGUAUCAAGAUUAUGGUAAAGGCAGCUGCAAGGAAUAAUUUUCAUGAAUACAUAAUAUUACAUCCAUAAUUGUGACGUCAUUAAGCAACAGGAGUGUAGGUAGCAUCCAGGCAUGAAUUUUUGCAAAUGCCACGCCGAGUCCGCCUGUUCUUGAACAUAGGGUUGUCAAGUGUUUCGUUUUUCUACUUUCUUGUUUUCAGCGUUGAAUAUAAUUUCCCGCGCUCGUGAACAAAAAAUACCACUAGUAAAUAUUAUAAAUACAUUUUCACCAGCAACUUCCGAGUAGGUAAUGACAGCUCUUUGAUACAACGUCGAUUAAAUAAAGAAAUUUACGGUUGACCGAUAUCGGUGAUUAAAAUGAAAACGAUGUGAGGCCAGAUGGAACGGUAUAUGCAAGGAUAUAUCGAUAUA